rnacentral:misc_RNA from 1 species
GGAAGCAAUCGAACAAAGGAUCCUUGUGAACUUGCGAAGUAUGAUGUUGUUCUAACUACAUAUUCAAUUGUUAGCAUGGAGGUGCCAAAGCAACCUCUUGUUGAUGAAGAUGAUGAUGAGAUAGGAAAAGGUGAAGGUGAUGAUGGAGCAUCCUUGGGGCUCUCAUUUGGUAAGAAAAGAAAAUAUCCUCCCAGUUUUGGCAAAAAGGGGUCUAGGAAUAAGAAAGGAAUGGAUGCUGCAUUACUUGAGUCUGUUGCUCGACCUCUUGCAAAGGUGGCAUGGUUUAGGGUUGUCCUGGAUGAGGCUCAGAGCAUCAAGAAUCAUAGAACUCAAGUAGCUAGGGCCUGUUGGGGCCUUCGUGCAAAGCGCAGGUGGUGCCUAUCUGGAACUCCUAUCCAAAAUGCAAUAGAUGAUCUUUAUAGCUACUUCAGGUUCCUCAGGUAUGAUCCUUAUGAUGUCUACACAUUGUUCUGCUCCACAAUAAAGAUUCCAAUUCAAAAGAAUCCAACAAAAGGGUACAAAAAGCUGCAAGCAGUGCUGAAGGCAAUAAUGCUUCGUCGCACCAAAGGGACAAAUAUUGAUGGCAAACCGAUCAUUACCCUGCCGCCCAAAGUAGUAGAACUGAAAAAAGUAGAUUUUACUGAUGAAGAGCGUGACUUCUACACAAGGCUAGAGAUUACUUCACGUGCUCAGUUCAAAGAAUAUGCAG